rnacentral:rRNA from 1 species
UACAGAGGUCCCAAGCGUUGUUCGGAUUCACUGGGCGUAAAGGGUGCGUAGGUGGUGGGGUAAGUCGGAUGUGAAAUCUCCGAGCUCAACUCGGAAAUGGCAUUGGAAACUACCCUGCUAGAGGGUCGGAGGGGGGACUGGAAUGCUUGGUGUAGCAGUGAAAUGCGUAGAUAUCGAGAGGAACACCAGUGGCGAAGGCGAGUCCCUGGACGACUCCUGACACUGAGGCACGAAAGCUAGGGGAGCAAACAGG